UUGAACGCUGGCGGCAGGCCUAACACAUGCAAGUCGAGCGGAUGAAGGGAGCUUGCUCCUGGAUUCAGCGGCGGACGGGUGAGUAAUGCCUAGGAAUCUGCCUGGUAGUGGGGGAUAACGUCCGGAAACGGGCGCUAAUACCGCAUACGUCCUGAGGGAGAAAGUGGGGGAUCUUCGGACCUCACGCUAUCAGAUGAGCCUAGGUCGGAUUAGCUAGUUGGUGGGGUAAAGGCCUACCAAGGCGACGAUCCGUAACUGGUCUGAGAGGAUGAUCAGUCACACUGGAACUGAGACACGGUCCAGACUCCUACGGGAGGCAGCAGUGGGGAAUAUUGGACAAUGGGCGAAAGCCUGAUCCAGCCAUGCCGCGUGUGUGAAGAAGGUCUUCGGAUUGUAAAGCACUUUAAGUUGGGAGGAAGGGCAGUAAGUUAAUACCUUGCUGUUUUGACGUUACCAACAGAAUAAGCACCGGCUAACCUCGUG
rnacentral:rRNA from 1 species